rnacentral:rRNA from 1 species
CACGUAGGGUGCAAGCGUUAAUCGGAAUUACUGGGCGUAAAGCGUGCGCAGGCGGUUCGUGAUGUCUGGUGUGAAAGCCCCGGGCUUAACCUGGGAAUUGCAUUGGAAACUACCUGGCUCGAGGCCGGGAGGGGGUAGCGGAAUUCCCAGUGUAGCGGUGAAAUGCGUAGAUAUUGGGAGGAACACCGGUGGCGAAGGCGGCUACCUGGACCGGUUCUGACGCUGAUGCGCGAAAGCGUGGGGAGCAAACAGG